AGCGAACGUUGGCGGCGUGCCUAACACAUGCAAGUCUUGGGGGAAAGUAGCAAUACGAGUACACCGGCGCACGGGUGAGAAACGCGUGGAUAAUCAACCUAGAGGAUGGGAAUAACUUGCCGAAAGGCGAGCUAAUACCCAAUAAAGUCCGGUCACCUGCGGGUGGUCCGGACCAAAGCUGGGGACCUUCGGGCCCAGUACCUUUGGACGAGUCCGCGUCCCAUUAGCUAGUUGGCAGGGUAACGGCCUACCAAGGCGACGAUGGGUAGCUGGUCUGAGAGGAUGAUCAGCCACACUGACACUGGAACACGGGUCAGACUCCUACGGGAGGCAGCAGUGAGGAAUAUUGCGCAAUGGGCGAAAGCCUGACGCAGCGACGCCGCGUGGAGGAUGAAGGCCUUCGGGUCGUAAGCUCCUGUCGGAAGGGAAGAACCACUGGCAGCCGAAUAGGCUCCAGUCUGACGGUACCUUCAAAGGAAGCACCGGCUAACUUCGUGCCAGCCGCCGCGGUAA
rnacentral:rRNA from 1 species